UCCUUCCUUCCGGAGACGCGUCCUACUCUUAGCUGAGCGGGGCGUGGAGACGGAUCGUUUACUUUGAAAAAAUCAGAGUGUUUCAAGCAGGCAUCAUCGCUCUUGCAUGGAUUAGCAUGGGAUAAUGAAAUAGGACCUUGGUGCUAUUUUGUUGGUUUCGAGCACCGAAGUAAUGAUUAACAGGGACAGUCAGGGGCACUCGUAUUCCGCCGAGAGAGGUGAAAUUCUCAGACCAGCGGAAGACGAACCACUGCGAAAGCAUUUGCCAGGGAUGUUUUCACUGAUCAAGAACGAAAGUUAGGGGAUAGAAGACGAUCAGAUACCGUCGUAGUCUUAACCAUAAACCAUGCCGACUAGGGAUU
rnacentral:rRNA from 1 species